rnacentral:lncRNA from 1 species
UGGUGUUUCUUCCAGAUCAGCCUCCUUUUCAUUCCAACUCUACGUGCCCAGAGCUUCAAAUACAGCCCUCCCAUCACAGUCAGACUCUCACAAAACUUCAAUCAGCUGCUUCUCCUCCUGGAAGAGAACCUGGAUGGGAGGAAGCUGGAAGGUGGGAAAGAAGAGGUGUGGAGUCAGCUGCAUCUGGCCUGGAUUCCAGUUCUGCUGUCUAUUUGCUGUGUGGUCCCAUGCAGGGAUUUGACUUCUCUGGGCUCAGCCUCAUCUCAGAACUCAAGGCACCCGAGAUGAAAGGCAGAGAAACAGCAGAAACAAAAGCUCCGGUCUUGAGCUUUGCCGCCUUCCCAUCCCCCUCACCCCUCACCCCUCACCAGCACUUCCUCGAGUCCUGAAAGUCUGCUUCGGUCU